UCCAAAUUACUGGGAACCACUCAUGGAUUACAGAAGCACACAGAGUGAUAAUAAGAAUGCAUCUGAGUCAAAGCAUAGGGCAGAGCAGAUUUAGAAUAUUUGAUUACAGACUUCUAGGGUUUUUAAAACCUUUGGACAUCAAGACCCUUAUAAAGCUUUAUGGAAAUGAGUAGGGUUGAUUUGUUAUAUUGAUUUGAGUGAAUUCAGAAAAAUGUUGUGACAGUAUGUCCUCUCUACUACACUCUACCACCUUCCUUCCCUAUCAACAAUCUCCUUUGACCUGGCCUUGCAGACAAGGCCUUGCACAGGUGGACAACGAGCAACAGGACUAAUAACAUUCUCACUAAGACAGAUUAACAACCUCAAAUCUGUCUCAAACUUGGGGGUCUAAAAGAGCUGAUAGCAGACACCUGGUUCAACACCUGAAGAUCAACUGAGCACAUGCCUGAAAAGCAACCUGUGACUAUGAGUCAAUCACCUUACCCCAUAAAUAGUGAGCAGCAGGUGACCCUCUUUGAGCUUCCCUGUAUAGCAGCUAGUUGUGUGGUAGCAGCUUCUCUUGAGCAGGGACAUCUCUUAUUCUAAGGCUUCAAAUGGAAAGUAUGCACCCAAAUUGAAAUUACAAAACCAGAAAUGUACUCAAUUCUUCAGAAGUUUUAGGAAUACGCAGAAAAAAACAGUUACCUACAUUUUCACCAGAAAUGCUUCUGUGUAAAAUUCUGCUUCAAGGCCUGGCUAGUUAUUGCUCAAGUUUGAACAGAUAGACUCUUCAGCUUCCUUUAACUGCAUGCAGCUCAAGGUGUGAAGAAAGCCCCCAGCCCUUGCCACAAGGAAGCUAUCUAUGUUUAGUCUGAAAUGCAUAAUACCUCCAAGUCCUUUACCCAAAGCAUACAGUUCCUGCUGUAGAACACAAUAACCAAGAAGAUAGAUCACACAGGUGAGGAACCACAACCAAUUUACAAAUAAAUAGAAGGAACAGGAAUGUCUUUUGCAGAGAGACGCUCAGUUCACAGCGUUUUGUCUGAAGGAGAUGGUGAAAGUUGGAAAGUCAAACAUGCCUCUUUCCCAAGAACUGGGAUUUCAACAGAAUAUAAAAUGUGUUUACAUAUUCGUCUGGAGAACCUAACAAAGAAUACUGCUGGAUCUUCAAAGCUCUGCUGUAACAGUUAUUCAAUCUAGACAUUAGAGCAUUGUUUUGACAACUUUUCUGCUGUGAAGCGGAUGAAGGAAGUGCUGUGUCACAAUUCAAAACUAAACUGAGAAAUACAGAUUAUCCUUCCAGUUUGUUUGAAAUCUGUGAGUGACAUAUAAGUAGAAUGUUUUAAUUAAGAGCUUUACCUUAGCAGUGCUAUUAACAAACGCCACAUAAAGCGUUUAUGGAAAAUCAAAUUAGAGCUAUUAUACUUCUUAUCCAGAGAGCCCUCUAUUCAGCAAUCUCUAAUCUUUCCACUUUGGCAUUAAAUUUUACCACUGGACACCUCUGAGUAGAUAGAGAUACACUGAAAUAAUGAUACUACAUCAAUUUUGGAUUGCAGUUUGUCCUUCCAUUAGACUGUCAUGUUUACAGCAUUUCCUAGUUUUUAUCAUAGUUCAUUUGGGGAACAAGGACAACUUCUGUUCUGAUCUAGGACUUCAUGCAUUCCCUUGAGCCUGAUUGUUCACCUCCCUUCUGAUUCGAUCAUAACACUGAAGAAAGAGCAAAAUCUACUACCUUGCAUGAAAGCAUUAUAUAUCUAUAUUUUUUUUUUGCCUCUGUUUAUGGACAUGGGAUGUUGGUAAUACUCAAUUUGUGUUAUGUUAUUUGUAUGCUUAAAAUAUGGGAUGCGUAUUAAAUCGAGCUCUCUACUACUACACAAAAAAAUCAGUCUGUUUGACAUCUCUAAAUAUCAGAACUGCAGUAACAUUUUAUUUUCCAGCUAAACAUGUGUUUAAAUACUGGGAGCCUGGCUUCUUUCCAACACUCAUUUUUAUUAAAGCCAGCUGUGAAGCAAUUAUUGAAUACACUAAAAAUGGCUCUUGAGAGUAGGACAAUAUGAGUUUUGUCCAAUAUUGAUUAACACAUUGAGUUUUGACUAAAUACACCAUUUUAAGAGCUCACUCUGCUUUGAGGUAGAAGAUCUGAAAAACUUAAGGAACAUAAUUUCUGAGAACUGCGUGGAUCUAGGUCAAGGGCUGAUUGCAACAGAAAGUACAGACAUAACUGAGUAUGCUUUUUCCUAAAUAAAUAAUGUGCUUUCAAAUACUAAUAAAGGCAAAAUAAUGGAGAAAGCACAAACAAGGCAAUUCAGCUUGACAAUGAAAAUGCGCAAUGGAAAAUACAGUCUAUAUUGCACAUGCAUGUUAUAUAUAAAUACAAUUUACAUAAUUUUUAAGUUUAUUUUAUGGAAGUAGAACGUCUCCUUUCUUUCAGAUUUGUAACCCAGCCAUUCUGACAGAGAUGUUAAGUAUUUCUGAUGGAUUUCCCACUUUCUGUAUGCUUUUCAGGCACACUUGGAUGUGUAUUUUUUACCAUACGAACUUCUCACGUGUUUGCAC